ensembl:lncRNA
UGGAGCUGUAACACUUUAAGUUGGCUCUCCCCUAGUUGAGGUCUAGACAAAACAAUCUUUUAUCUGAUCUACCCUGUUUUUGUUUUCCUACACUUUUUGUUUUGCUUCGUACCUUUUUUAAGUUUGGUGUGUUUAAAAAAUUAAAAAAUACAUAUUUUGUUUGCCUCUUCUUGGGCAAAUUUCCUGGGUGCUCAUGGUCGGGGUCUUUUAGGUGCCAGUUGUUGCUAGUCAUCUUUCAGUGGACACUCGAGUCAUUUAGAACCACCCAUAAAACCCACACAUUUAAUUUUGGUUCUUGUCAGUGACUCUUUGUUAGUUCCCCUUUCUGUUUGCGUGACUAUUAUUUUUUUCUUGCUGGGGAACGUACCAAAAUGGAGGCUCAUUCGGGAUCGUGUUUACCACAGACGGACGGAUGGAGGAGCAGAGAGUAGACCCAGCGCCAAGAGACAGGCAUGAGGCCUCUCCGUCUAUCUACAGGACAAAGACAGUAGACAUGAGGCCUCUCCAUCUAUCUACAGGACAAAGACAGUAGACAUGAGGCCUCUCCGUCUAUCUACAGGACAAAGACAGGAGACAUGAGGCCUCUCCGUCUAUCUACAGGACAAAGACAGUAGACAUGAGGCCUCUCCAUCUAUCUAGGGUGGUAUCAUUAUGACAGACAGGGCUCAUUGUACUCAUUCCCUAUGUAGUGGUCAACAGUCGUGCCAUGAUAGAGAAUAGGGUGUAAUGUUUGAUCAGUCAUUGUGUUUGGUGACUUCACUGCUGUCAGCGUAGGUACUAUAAGGAUGUAGAUUUAUUACUGUGCCAUCACAAAUGACAUUUGAUUUGAAACUGUCAGACUGGGUAGCUGUCUGUGUAAACUUUGGUGGAGUCGUUAACACCACAGGGCCGUUAGCUUUCUGGCUGCUCGUAGAUAUCUAUUAGCCCGAAUGUAUGUUUCUUACUUGUCAUUACUUAUUGAGAUCAGUUUAUUUUACUUUGAUGUGAGCAAAGCUGGUAAUUGCGUGUACCUCAGUCAUCAUGUUUCCUAGAUUAAAUUUUAAUACUUGGAUAAAUUAUGCAUUGCUCAUUUAUAAUGUAGGAACUGAAUACUAGUGUACAUAUAUUUAGUAUAUAUAUGUUUGUUCUGCAA